UACGUAGGCAGCGAGCGUUGUUCGGAGUUACUGGGCGUAAAGGGUGUGUAGGCGGUUGUUUAAGUUUGGUGUGAAAUCUCCCGGCUCAACUGGGAGGGUGCGCCGAAUACUGAAUGACUUGGAGUGCGGGAGAGGAGAGUGGAAUUCCUGGUGUAGCGGUGAAAUGCGUAGAUAUCAGGAGGAACACCGGUGGUGUAGACGGCUCUCUGGACCGUAACUGACGCUGAGACACGAAAGCGUGGGUAGCAAACGGG
rnacentral:rRNA from 1 species